UUGGAAACAGAUCAAAGAAACUUGUCGUUUCUCUACAAAAAUAGUUGACGUAAAUUUUAAAUUUAAUUGUCAACCUUAAAAAAUUAAUUUAAUUAAUAAACUAGUUUGUAUGUCCAUCAAAUUGCCAGUGGAAAUAUUAAAAUGAGCAUUGGAUGAGCAACAGUGGCCGCAGAUCUGUCAUCAAUCUAACCUAAAGUUCAUUUGUCAAUAAAAAUAAAUUGAAUUUAUCAAGAAUAAGACACGAAUUCGUAAAAAAAAAACAAUUCAGUUGAUCUAUAGAUAUUUUUAAUAGUCACUCGUUGAUUCGUCCAUUGCCUACUAAAUCAAAGGAAUUUUUUUUACCUUAACUUCAGUAAGAGGAUAUCGGCGAAUUGAUUGAAGCAGCUGAAAUUUCAUUCUGAUAUCAAUAAAAAAAAAAACGAUUGUGAAGCUUCUUUACUUGGGGCAGUGAUAAAAACUGAGUUCUUCUAAAGUUUUUGUCAAAAAAAUGUAUCAUAGAUCAAGAAUACAUGCAACUGCAAUUUAAAAAGCGAAAUUUUAUUCCUGCGGAAUUGAUUUUGAAUUUAUUUUUUCAAGACUCAAUAAAUCUCUUUGUAUGAAAUCACAGUAUCAAAAAUCUUUUAUUAUU